AUAUCAAUAAGCGGAGGAAAAGAAACCAACAGGGAUUGCCCUAGUAACGGCGAGUGAAGCGGCAACAGCUCAAAUUUGAAAUCUGGCCUUCUGGUCCGAAUUGUAAUUUGUAGAGGAUGCUUUUGGUUAGGUACCUUCCGAGUUCCUUGGAACAGGACGCCUUAGAGGGUGAGAGCCCCGUACGGUUGGAUGCCGAGCCUCUGUAAAGCUCCUUCGACGAGUCGAGUAGUUUGGGAAUGCUGCUCUAAAUGGGAGGUAAAUUUCUUCUAAAGCUAAAUACCGGCCAGAGACCGAUAGCGCACAAGUAGAGUGAUCGAAAGAUGAAAAGCACUUUGAAAAGAGGGUUAAAUAGUACGUGAAAUUGUUGAAAGGGAAGGGCUUAUGACCAGACCUUUGCCUUGGGGAUCAUCCGGUGUUCUCACCGGUGCACUCCCCUUGGUUGAGGCCAGCAUCAGUUUUGGCGGCCGGAUAAAGACUUCAGGAAUGUGACUCCCCCGGGAGUGUUAUAGCCUGUUGUGUAAUACGGCCGCUGGGACUGAGGACCGCGC
rnacentral:rRNA from 1 species